CGUUUUGGAAGAUUCUCAUGCAAGGCCCUCCUGAAACACUUUAUGAGGAUGGAGUCUUUGAGCUGUACUGUCAGUUUGGAGCUGACUACCCCGUCAAACCUCCACUUGUGCGCUUUGUCACACCUGUAUCCUUCUACACAAUGAAUACAUGAAGACAGUGUAUUUAUUCUUAUUACCUAAGUCAUACAUUUUCAAAUUCUAUCCAGUUGAUUGAUGCUUUUUUCCAUCAUGAAAAAUCAUUUUUAAUUUUUUUGGGUAUUUUACCCAAUUUCAAUCUUGUCUCAUCGCUGCAACUCCCCAACGGGCUCGGGAGGCAAAGGUCAAGUCAUGCGUCCUCUGAAACAUGACCCGCCUAACAGCGCUUCUUAACACCCGCCCGCUUAACCCGGAAGACCGCCGCACCAAUGUGUCGGAGGAAACACUUCAACUGACUACCGAAGUCAGCCUGCAGGUGCCCGGCCCACCACAAGGAGUUGCUAGAGCACGAUGAGCCAAGUAAAGCCCCCCCCCGGGCCAAACCCUCCCCUUACCCGGACGACGCUGCGCCAAUUGUGCGCCACCCUAUGGGAUUCCCGAUCACGGCUGGUUGUGAUACAGCCCGGGAUUGAACCCGGUCUGUAGUGACUCCUCUAGCACUGCGAUGCAUUGCCUUAGACCACUGCUCACUCGGGAGGCCAUGAAAAAUCCUUAAUGUGGACAAAGGUGUACCACUGCAACAUAAACAGUGUGGGUCGUAUCUGCCACAACAUAUUUGACCGCAGCUACAAUGCUCACAUAACCAUGAGAGAGAUCUUGGAUGCUGUAUAUGGGCUGCUCAUCGUUCUUGAACCCCAAGAUCCACUGAACAGGUUGGCUUCACGUUAUUUGAUGACCACACUGAAUACAAGAGUGGUGUUAACUCUGAUUCUAAAAUCAAAAAUGAAAAGUAGGAAAUAGUGUAUUAUAUUUAUUAGUGUAUAGUAGUAUAUUGAAUUCAUAUACCUACAUUUUAUCUGAAUGAAAAUGUCUUGUAAAAGUAUUUUGGCAGAGGAAUACCUGAUCAGCAGAUGCAAGUAUGAAGAAGAGGCCAAGAAAAACACAGAGGAAGUUGCAGGCCAUUCAUUGGAUGACAUGGAGAAGGAAUUGUUGGGUGAAGAGUUGACUGAGAAGUUCAUACCCUCACACUUGAUUUGUCCACUAACCAACAAGAUGUUUGUUGACCCAGUGAAGAACCAGGAGGGAACCGUGUACGAGCGAAAGGCCAUUGAGAAACAUCUGAAGAGGACAUGGAUUGGGACUGAUCCCAAAACAAACAAGUUACUGACAUUAACUGACCUCAAGCCAUACCAAGACAUGAGAAAAAUGGUGAGGGACUAUCACAAACAGCAAAUUCAGUAGACAGAUGUUUAAAACACAAUGUGGUUGCCAAAAUGUAGCAUUCCUGCCUUGUAGCCUACACAUUUUGGUGAAACAUGAUAAUGAUGAUGGGAACUAAUGUUACACCACCCAUUGGGUAUUGAAGUAUGCUAACAAUUGUAUGUAAACUACAUGACCAAAAGUAUCUGGACACUUGUCAAAAAUCUCGUUCUAACAUCAUGGGCAUUAAUAUGGAGUUGGUCCCCCUUUUGCUGCUAUAACAGCCUCCACUCUUCUGGGAAGGCUUUUCAAUAGAUGUUGGAACAUUGCUGCGGGGACUUGCUUCCAUUCAGCCACAAGAGCAUUAGUGAGGUCGAGCACUGGUGUUAGGCGACCAAGGCCUUUCUCCUCCGAUUGCUGAGUUUGGCCGGGCGGCAAUCUCUAGAAAGAGUCUUGGUGUUUCCAAACUUCUUCCAUUUAAGAAUGAUGGAGGCCACUGUGUUCUUGGGGACCUUCAAUGCUGCAGAAAUGUUUUGGUACCCUUCCCCAGAUCUUUGUCUCGACACAAUCCUGUCUGUGAGCUCUAUGGACAAUUCCUUCGACCUCAUGGCUUGGUUUUUGCUCUGACAUGCACUGUCAACUCUGGGACCUUAUAUAGACAGGUGUGCGCCUUUCCCAAUCAUGUCCAAACAAUUAAAUUUAUCAUAGGUGGACUCCAAAUCAAGUUGUAGAAACAUCUCGAGGAUGAUCAAUGGAAACAGGAUGCACCGGAGCUCAAUUUCGAGUCUCAUAGUAAAGGGUCUAAAAGCGUAUGUAAAUAAGGUAUUUCUGUUUUUUAUUUGUAAUACAUUUGCAAAAAUUUCUAAAUACGCUUUGUCAUUAUGGGGUAUUAUUUGUAGAUUGCUGAGAAUAAUUUAAUGUAUUAUCCAUUUAAGAAUAAGGCUGUAACGUAACGAAAUGUGGAAAUAGUCAAUGGGUCUGAAUACUUUCUGAAGGCACUGUAUGUAUACUGUAGCUCAGAAAGCAAUACUAAGUGUAUGUUGUGUAGUAAGCUGUUAGUAGCCCAUGUGCCUCACCCUAAUAAUUUGGUCCCUUUCUCCUUCAUAACUUAGCCUACUGUUCUGACUUGGUUGUGCACAUGUAGCCUAUAGCAUGCUUUAGAGAAAUGUCAUCAUUAAAUAUCGCAGGGAAAAAUGGCGCUGAGGUGGAUGGUUGACGUUUUACAUGCCCGUAACCAAUUCUGCUAUUUUAUUCCGUUUUUUUUGCAUUGUUUGUAACUUAUUUUGUAACUUAUUUUGUACAUAAUACUGCUGCUACCAUCUCAUAUGACCGAAAAUAACUUCUGGACACCACCAUAGUCCCUGUGCCCUAGGAAACGAAGGUAACCUGCCUAUAUGAUUACCGCCCCUUAGCACUCACGUCAGUAGCCAUGAAGUACUUUGAAAGGCUGGUCAUGGCUCACAUCAACAGCAUCCUCCCGGAUACCCUAGACCCUCUCCAAUUCCCCAACAGAUCCACAGAUGACGCAAUCUCAAUCGCACUCCACACUGCCCUUUCCCACCUGUACAAAAGGAACACCUAUUUGAGAAUGCUGUUCAUUGACUACAGCUCAGCGUUCAACACCAUAGUGCCCACGAACUCAACACUAAGCUAAGGAUCCUGGGACUAAACACCUCCCUCUGCAACUGGAUCCUGGACUUCCUGACUGGCCGCCCCCAGGUGGUAAGGGUAGGCAACAACAUGUCUGCCAUGCUGAUCCUCAACACUGGGACCCCUCAGGGGUGUGUACUUAGUCCCCUCCUGUACUACCUGUUCACCCACGACUGCAUGGCCAAACACGACUCCAACACCAUCAUUAAGUUUGCUGACAACACAACAGUGGUAGGCCUGAUCACCGACAACAAUGAGACAGCCUAUAGGGAGGAGGAUAGAGAACUGGCAGUGUGGUGCCAGGACAACAACCUCUCCCUCAAUGUGACCAAGACAAAGGAGCUGAUCGUGGACUGCACGAAAAGGAGGGCCGAAUAGGCCCACAUUAACAUCAACAGGGCUGUAGUGGAGCGGGUCGAGAGUUUCAAGUUCCUUGGUGUCCACAUCACCAACGAUCUAUCAUGGUCCAAACACACCAAGACAGUUGUGAAGAGGGCACGACGAAACCUUUUCCUCCUCAGGAGGCUGAAAAGAUUUGGCAUGGGUCCCCAGAUCCUCAAAAAGUUCUACAGCUGCACCAUCGAGAGCAUCCUGACCGGUUGCAUCACCACCUGGUAUGGCAACUGCUCGGCAUCUGACCGUAAGGCGCUACAGAGGGUUGUGCGUACGGCCCAGUACAUCACUGGGGCCAAGCUUCCUGCAAUCCAGGACCUAUAUAAUAGGCGGUGUCAGAGGAAAGCCCAUAAAAAUGUCAGACACUCCAGUCACCCAAGUCAUAGACUGUUUUCUCUGCUACCGCACAGCAAGGGGUACCGGAGCACCAAGUCUAGGACCAAAAGGCUCCGUAACAUCUUCUACCCCCAAGCCGUUAGCUGAACAAUUAAUCAAGUGGCCACCGUACUAAUACAUUGACGACCCCCCCCCCCCCCCCCCCAUUUGUUUUGUACACUGCUGCUACUCGCUGUUUAUUAUCUAUGCAUAGUCACUUCACCCCUACCUACAUGUACAAAUUCCCUCUAACCUGUACCCCCGCACACUGACUCGGUAACGGUACCCCCUGUAUAUAGCCUCGUUAUUGUUAUGUUAUUGUGUUACUUUUAUAAUUUUUUUACUUUAGUUUAUUUGGUAAAUAUUUUCUUAACUCUUCUUGAACUGCACUGUUGGUUAAGGGCUUGUAAAGAAGCAUUUCAUGGUAAGGUCUACACUUGUUGUAUUCGGC
ensembl:lncRNA